UCAUGCUGAACUGAAAACACCAGUUCUCAUUCAAUCGUCAAAGUUAAGCAAUGUCUAGCCCAGUCAGUACUUAGAUAGGGGGACCACUUGGGAAUACCAGGUACUGUAA